AAAGAAAAAAGAUGGGAUGUGUGGGGACUGAGGAAGAAUGAAACAACAAACUAAGCUGACAGAAGAUACUAUUUCAAAUGAGUGUGUUUCUGGUAGUGGGAGGGAGACUAAAACCAAAUAAGAAAGAAUGGCUGGGGAGGAUCUACUCGGAAUUCCACUGAUGUGCUAACAGCUGUUAUUACAGUAUCUGGCUUUUUGGAUUAAAUAUUGAUAGAAAUAAAUGAAAAAGAGAUUGAGUAAACUGAAAUAUGUGUUCUGCCUUCCUAAGAGUACCAGAAUCAACACCCUUUUAUACAAUUAAUAGUAUUAAACACCGACAUCAGCUGACAGGAAAUAAGAAAGUUCCUAUGGCAACUAAAAAUAAGCACAGGAGGAAGAAUGCAUCAAAUGCUGUCAGCAGACAGCAUAAAAGGCAAAUAUAUGGAGAUAACAGCACAAAAGAAUAUACAGAGACCUGUCUCAUAAACAACAUACAUGCUUGGAUGGCUUGUUUUUGUUGUUUUCUUCCAAACUAGAAACACUGCACCUUUCUUACAGAAUCUACUUAUCAACAGUUAAAUCACCUUGCAGAGUGAGGCUCCUGGUUUAUGUGCUGUGCAACGUGGGGGCAGGACCCACGAGUUUGAAAGCAGAAGCAAGAAGCAAAGCUGAGCCUGCCCCCAGACCUGUGUGGUGUGGAGAAAGCUGCGUUAUUUUCCCUUCACUCUCCAUGCUCUCAAGUUUCAAUUGCUCCUGCAGACCCUUCCAGGCUCUCUCUUCUGGUACAUCUUUGCUGUAAAGUACCUCUACAGACAUAAAAUCAUUUUCCUGUGUGAAGAUGUUGCUAUUUUCACAAUAAAAUACUCCUGCUGUGCAGUGCUGCACCUCCACACAGGACCUUUGUCACAGUGUCUGUGCCCUUGUGGCUCUGCUUGCCUGACACAUCGAAGACAAACCUGCAACUCCCCACAUCCUGGCCAGCUCAGGAAACUUGGCUGCUGAGCAGAAGACAGCCCCACAUAUAACAAAGGUAGGUAUCAUUUGUCCCCUGUAGCUCUGUCCUGAUAAGUGAUAAACAGUUCAUUAGCAUGAACUAUGGCAUUGUGAGGUGAUUGAGAACACCAAUGCAGGACCAAAAGCAAGGGCUAGGAGAAAUGUGGUCAUCCCGCUCCAGAGCUGGUAGAGACCCUUAUCUUUACUCAGGACUUUUGGUGUGUCUAUGCUGAGUGAUGCCCUAGCUUUGAAUUCACUGCUCGUGUUGGAAAAGAUGAUUCUAUCAUUACAGGGAAAACCUCGUUGUCAGUCUUAGGGCUGUAUAAAAGCUCCUCCUGUAACCCACUCCUCUGUUCUGGUGGACACGCGUAUUAUCAUUGCUUCCCUAUAACUCAUCUGGACAUGUGUCUGUAUUUUUACCCUUCCCAUUCCUGUUGUGCCAUGCUUAUGGUAUGGUAUCACAGAUGCAACCCAUCAUUAUGUGACUCACGCUGCAAGUCAAUGCAUGUAACCACAGGCAUGCAGAGUGUGAAUAGAUAUCAAGCACUGAUACUAUUAUACCUUACUCUGCUGGCUGUUGGGAGCAGUAAAUGCCCUAUCUCAGUGUGGAAUAUAUUUGCACUGUCUGAAGGGAACCAUGUGCACAACUCCGGGUAAGUUUAGGACCUGAUCAUGAGUUGUCCAUAGCAAAGCAUCGGAAACCAGGUGAUUUCAUCAGCCAAAGGGAUCCGCUUUCUCAAACUGGCUGACAAGAACAAACAGACACAUGUUAUGUUUUCCUCUGAUAUAAUAAGCACUGUGAAGAUAUUAGCUGUUUUCUGAUUGAGUAAAGGUGUGUACUACACAUAAUACUCCAGCAAACAAAAUUGUUCUGAAAUUAUCUAACUAGGAUGUCACUGCAAAGGGAAAUUACAUAUUCCAUAUAUUCCAAUAUAUUCCAAUAUUCCAUUCAGAGGAUGGCAGUUGAGCUUUUAAUCCAAUAAUGUUCUUAUUUGUGCCUUCACUACCUGGAAGCAGAGGGCAGCACACAUCUGUGCUUGAGAUAGGUCUGGUGCUGUGGGACAUUUGGAGUCAUACAGAUACAGCUGGCACAGCUGGCUCUAUCCUUCCAACCUGCCAGCGAGCUCACUGCUCUCUUCAUGAGAUGAAGGAACUUGUUGACCACUUCCCCAGUGCUGAUGCAGAGCUGGAUAAUUGCAGUGGUUACUGUGGUUAGACUGUAGUGUAUUUUUUCAUACUUUUCUAGUGAAAUGUUGUAGCUCAACCCACCUUUUACUCCUGGCAGAUGAUAGAUGUGCAGGCUGUACAAAUGGGUGCAGCAGGAGUCAACUGAUGUUUUUUUUCUUCCACAACUAGGUUGUAUUCUUCACCUUGUGUGAACCAGCAGGGCAGCAAAAUAGGCAGUGGGUCCGAUAGAAUCCAGUCAGAUUUAGCAUUUAUUUUAUCCUCUCAUAUUCAAUAACAUUCUCUGAUUACUGAGUUGAAAUAAACAUGAAUCAGUGACAAGCAAACAAAGGAUCAGUGAUCUUGUAAUUUUUGUUUUAUUUGUUUUGUAUUUUGCAUUUGAUUUGAUAUUUUUUUUUUGCAAUUUGUAUUUGAUAUUUUUAUUUGAUAUGAAUCUUAAGGCAAAUAUUAAGAAAGAAACAGAAGGAACAAAAUAUAUGCUUUGAAUGUUGCUACUAAACAACCUUAGGUUUUUUUUUUAAUAACUUUCUUAAAGUAGGCAAUUUCAAUGUCUCUCUUGGUUAGUUAUAGCACAAAAUGAACUAAGGCACUAUAUGUAACAUUUAAGUUCUGUCCCAAAGCCUGCUAUUAGUGGUUCAGAACAUGACUGCUGAAAUGCAAACUGUCCAAUAUGCCGAACUUCAGGGAGAUUUAGAUUAAAAGAAACAAAUCUACAAAGACAGAAAUCAUUUUUCAUUUGAAAAGUGUGCUUUGAACAAUGCCAACAAUCAAAAGAAUUUCAAAAGUCUUGUUUGUAGAAGGGAUAAAUACAUCCCUCUUCUCUCCUUUGUCACCUUUUGCUCUAACAAAGUCCAGUUCCACUGAACCUGGAAAACUUUUUGACAAAAUUAUUUGGCUUACCUGCUCCAAUGCAAAAUUUCACUGUAGCAUCAGUACCAACUGUUGCUGCAAGUGCCGCUCGCUCAGCAUGGUUGAUCCAGCCAGUAGUUAGAUCCAGAAGCUGUGUCGAUUAGCACAAUUUCAGCAAGCUCAGCUGUUGGAAUUUUCUUUUGUAUAGGGCAGAGAAAGUGAUGGCACUCACACACUGGGUCUGAAGCUCAGGUAAGUCCUGCUGAUGAGGUACUUGAACAAACUCCUAAAAAAAAACACAUUUCAGCUGGCAUUUGAAAGGGAAACCAGAAGAAUGAGAAAACAGGAAUGCCUUUGCAAUAUUGGUAUGUAGUGCAAUGCUUUUUUUCCUUUAUAAGGUGAUCAGCAUUCUACUAAGGUCUUUAUUAUAACAGAAUCAUGGAAUUACAGAAUCAUAGGGGUUGGAAGGGACCCCUAUGAUUCUGUAAUUCCAUGAUUCUGGACCUAUGGGCACCAUCUAGCCCAAGGCCCCUGACAGAGCAGGUUCCCUAGAGUAGAUUGCACAGAUUUCUUUUUCAGCAGAUGACUUCAGGAUUAUGAUUAACAAUUCUCUGCCUCACGGAUAAAUCUUUCAACGAAUGCUGAGGUUAUAUUACCAAAGUAAGGUUACAUUUGUUGUUUAUGGGUAGUGUACUUGGAAUGAAGUACUUUACAGUGAUUUUGCAAGCACUCAGAACACUUCUGGAAUUGUUAUUAAGAAAUGUGUAAGAAACUUGAGAAACAAAGCAAAACUGGGCAGUGUACAAGCCAGUCUUUCUCUGUAUGGGAGAUUUCUCCCGUGGAAAAAAAUUCUGAAGGCAGUGGGUCGAAUGUUCUGUUGUCAUUGCUGCACUAUUCUGUUGGAAAUAACUUUCCUCAUUAGAAACAAAUGCAAAAUUUUGCGUGAAGCUUUUUCUCAGCUAAUUUAGAGCAGGCUCUUUCAUGUGUUUAUUCCUAAGGGAUGGAAUUUCUACUGCAAUGAAAGAUGGAGUUGAUGAGUACCUUGCAGGACUGGGCCACCACUACUUCAAGGAUGAUCCCACAUUCUGGGGACCUCAGGAAGUGCACCGAUGCAGUCUACUCAGUGACUUGCUAAAUAAAUAAGAUUUAAAUAAUCUUUAUAAAUGUAGUCUCACUUGGGAGCUCCUUGCCCAUGAUUAAUCUGAAAAUAACCAGAAAUAUUUCAUUGGAUUAAUAAAUCAAAAAUUUCAGUUCAUUGCAACUUCAAAAUUGAGGGCACAAAAAUUUCUUUUUGUAUUGAGAACACAGUUUUGUUCCUUGUUCCGCACGUUUCUAUUUCUUCAGUAAGUGUAAUCUGAAAGAGGAAGAGAAAUAUAUGACUGAUGCAUUAAGAUCAACCAUGAUAGGUGAUUUAAUAGCAAAAGGUUCUUCAGAUAUUCCGGGGAAGAAAAUGUAAGUGAAAAAUGCAGUAUUAUGGCUAGUGCUCAUUUGCUGUGUUACAGUCAGAAGUACACAGUAUCUUAAUUUUCCUCAUGAUUAGAAAUGGCUUUUAACUUUACUGGCAAGUCCAAGCUAUACCACGGCAUUAGUGAUAACCAGGUUAUCUUGCAUGUGCAGCCUAGGAGCACAUGGCAGCAGGGUGUGUGAUGCACGUAAGUCACUGUCCAGAGCCCAGAACAGUGCAUAAAUAUUGUCUACAGAGCACAAAGCAUAUUUUUGAUUUUAUGCUAACAUAUGACAAGGAAAUUUUCAAAAUGUCUGGCAAGACAGUAUGAAAUCUUCCUAUUGUAAGUCACAGGAUUUGUGGCCUCCAAAUCCCUCUUCCACAUUAAUGUUCUUCAAGCACAGGCAAGCAGAGCUGUGUCAUGCCCAGGAACUUCCUGGUUACAAAGGACACAGGAUGGAGGGGAAGCUGCCGGAAACUUCCUUUUUGUUGAAGGCUGUGGUGGUAAGGAGGAUGAAAUCCUUCCAGGUUUGCAUCUAUAACCCAGCUGUUGAUGGUUUGAGCUUCAAGGGUGUUGGUUUGCCAGGUGAGAGGCAUGGAGCAGAGGAGAGGAGCCAGGAAGCAUUCAGCGGGGCAGGCUGCUCUCUCAGAUGGGACCUGCACUUUGGGCUACCUGUCCACGGCUCACAAAGAGGGACCAAAGGGGCUACCCGUGUCCACUUGGUUCUCCCUCUUGGUAUCCCUGCCUGUUGCAGUGGCUUUCUAAUUCACCAGGCUAGAGAAAACAAAGUGACUGCAUAAAGUAAAAGGUUAGCCUGGCUUUUUCUCAAUUGUCAGCCUAUGUGCACGCAAAAGAUGCUAUGAAAGGAAGCUGCUUUGUGAAGAUGCAUCAAAGAAGGAUUUUUACUGUUUGUCAUUGGAUUUCAUUUCAGUGCUAAAUCACAUCAACCUCUGCAAGAAGUCAGGAAAAAAUGGAAAAUGUGUCGCUGCUGUCAUCCCAAGUUUUGUUUGCAUUUAUUUACAUUAAAGCUCUUGUUUCUGUAGGACAUUUGAGGCUGAUCUUGUUCUUGUCUCUUCUGGGUUUCAAGAAUAUAUUGUUAGAUACUACGUCAAGUCUCAGUGUUGCUUGUAUUACAUCUACAUAAUGCAAAAUCAUGUGGUCUGAAUUAUGCUCCUAGGAAAGCAUAUUAGCAUCUAAAGCCAUAAGUUUAUAAUUUUCAGUUUAGCCAUGAUGCAUUUUAAAAAUUUAUAUUAUUAUUAUUAUUAUUAUUAUUUGCAUGUGUUAACAUUAUCCACUAGAAUAAAUAUUAAAAGGAUGCAAAGCUUUGAAAGUCAAUCAGUAAAACCCAAUUCUAGUAUUUUCUGGAUAGAAUUUGUGCAAUUUUUGCUUCCUUUGGGUUUGUGCAUUGCAAUCAGUCUUUAAUUAAGAGAACACAUACUUUGUUUUUGUACUUGCUGAUAGAUCUAUUCUCUUGAAAUUCUUUAAAGUCAGACACCUGGCAUGGAAACAUAGUUCAUAUAGAUGGCACAUUAAUGAGCCCAGUAUUUGAUUUUAUCUUUCUGUUCAUUGAGUGUCCAAUACCUUCUUAAUUUCACAUUAUGCAAAGUUGGUUUAAUUCAGAAUUAUUUGUUUCCUUAUGACCAUUUCUUUUAUGGUUAUCAUUAGAGUAUCCAGCUGUUUCACAAGCAGUAUGAACUUCUGUCAUACUACUUUGCUGCAAUGAAGAGUAUUAUUAGUCCAAUUUUUUCAGAUAAUAAACUGAAGCAGAGGAAUAUAAAUAAUGACUACAGAUAUAAAUAAAUAACUACAGAUUUUGGAUACUGAGUAGGAAAAAAAAAAAACACUAUCAUCAGAUUGUGGUACAGUCUUUUGUUCACGGUACAGUCCUCACUGAUGUAAUGUGUGAGGACUCAGUGCUCCUUCACGACAAAGGUAGGGUCAGGUAGAUUCAAAUGAAGAGAGCAAAAGUGAAGCAAAUGAAGUUUUAAGUACCUUGCCUCUCACAGCAGCUCUAUCAGUCAGUGGCAGAUUUCAGGCCUCCAGGGCAGCGUUCAGCUAUCUUAACUAUGAAAUCAAUUUUUAUUUUACUGCAGUUUGUUCUCUUGAGUGGUACAUGCAUUCCACCUAGAGUUAGGGUGGAAAUUGCUUUCCAGUUCCUUGCACGUUUUCAGGGCUUUGGUAUCAACCCAGCUUCACUAUGGGAUGCUAGUUGAAACCCUUGAAGGACAUCCUGGGAGAACCAGAGCCGCUCAGCAGAGCCUGGGGAGGAAUCACAGGGUUGCUGGCCUUCUGGAGCUUGACCUCUUCCAUUCUGCUGCCUCAGCCAGCCUGCUUGCACUCUGUCUGGCCUAAUAGAGCACCCCUGUUUUAUGUGAAGAAGAAAGAACUCGUCCAGCUGUGUCAGAUCUGUCUCAUGUCCCUGCUGUGGGGCGAUGAGAAGUGCUCAUCAAAGGGGUGCUGCCCUCUGGGUGUCCCCAGUAAAAGGAGGCUGAUGCCUUCCUCUCUGCUUUUCUGUUGCAGCCAGGGGUCAGAUCCACACAGCCUCAGCCUUGGUUUCAUGUCCAGCUCUGGAGUCAGAGCACCUGGGACUAGCAAUUGCAGGGAAAGCAUUGUUUUAGCCUCCUUUAUCCUGGGGUCAGGAAGAAUGUUGGCUUGGCAUGAACAGAAAAUGCUGUUGAUCAACUGCUACUAAGCAUAUGCAAUCAGAAUUUUUCUCAAUUAUUAACAACUUGGCUACAUUUGAACAUUAUACCCCUCCACACACAUAGACGCACAACACAAGGCUUAUCCAUCACACAAAGGCUAUUUAGUGCAAAAUUUUACUUCCUUGCCUCAAGUUGUCGUACUGCCAGAAAUUAUUGACAGAACCAUAGUAAAUUUGUAAUAAAUAGUAUGACUGGCAAAUAAUAUAUUUUCUGCUGACUUUAUUAUUGGAAAAAACUGGACAACAUGCUGACACCCUUUUGGAAACCGGGCAUGAAAAAUUCCAGUCUCAACACUUCAAUUCUGGAAGAGUUAUGACUGAAAUGAAGGGUUUGUGUUGGGAAGAGUUUGGCAGCAUUAACAACAUAGAGCCUUGACCACUUGAUUCAUAAUUGCUUCUCUCAAAUUUUGAGCUGUGAAUCACCUGUGCCCCUAACUUUCCAAGAGUCAGCGUCCCUGGCAAGUCACCAGGUAGUCUAUGGUACUGGUAUGAAGACAGCAUUGCUGAAAAUAUGUGGAAGUAUAUAAUGAUAAAAUGAAAAAUAGAAAUGCAUUUUCUGUGCAAUUUCCACAAUACCUGUAGUGAAAUCUUUCGGUUUGCUCAUAUCUCUGGAAAGAGCAGUAACAGUGAAUCAGAUGUGAUUUUUCUUAAUGAACAUAUGAUGGGGUCACUAUAUGUUAUUUGCAGUUGAUAACUUUCAGUUGUAGAAUCAAUGUAUUUACAGAUUUGUUUCAUUUUAAUGAUGUUAAUUUGAGGUGAGAACCACACAGACUAAAACAUCAUUAACACUGGUCCUGUCCUCAUUUGAGAAAAAUCAGUAUGUAUUUCUUCAGUCAAAUAAUUUGUGGAGAGAGAAUAGAGGGAAUAUUGUGUUAGUGUGGUACAAGUGCUGUUUCUUUGACUUUGCUCAAAGAAACAUCAAGUGAAAUGACACUCUAACUUAUCUCGCAAGCUUAUUAUUAUGGUAGAAUUUGCUUUAAAUAGCCAAAGAUCCCAGUGAUUGGAGGUGGUUCUUCAGCUUCAGGUAAAGACAAUAAUUGGUAGAAUCAGUGCAGGAUUAUUUUAACAGCAUGGGGUUAAAAUGUGUGUAUUUUUACAUCUUUGGGAAUUGUCAAUCAUUUUGUACCUGUUUAUUUCACAGUCAGAUUCCAAUUACAGCCUACUGCUAGGAAACCUGGCAAUAAAAUUUGGAAAAUACAGCUUGAAAGAGGUUAUUAUGUACUGAGGUAUCAUCAGAAUAGUUGGUGUGUCUUUGGGAGGGGACAGGAGAGACCAACACAAGUAGGUUGUUUUUCAUUUCACUUUCUAGGCAUGAACCAAUGGACUUCUCACAACUGGGAAGAUUACACCAAUGAAUUGCAGAAAGCAGAUUUGCACUCUGAGCACAUUCAUGCCUUGACUGCGGGUGUCGUGGUGAAAUAAAAAAAGAAGCCAGAUUGUUAUGAUAAUACCAAAUUGACAGGACAAGAGAACCCCAAAUAGACAAGAAAAAGCAUCAGCUGAAUCUGAAAGUUAAUGAAUACCUGGAUGUCUUUACGGAGAUAGUUUUGAACACAGUGCUGCAGACAAGUGCUUUUCAGAAGUGCCUCGCAUCAUACGCCUACCAAUUUUAGUGGAGACAUGGCAGCUGGUCUACUGCAACAUCUCUAAAAUUCCAUACGAAUGAACUGUUUUAUUAGGCACCAAAUACUUUUGGAAAUCAGGCCCAUGAUGACCAGAAGCAAUCUGUCAGUUCAUUGACAAGAGUUAGUAUUUCUUUUGUGUAAUAUAUUAGUUUUAAAUACAAAGUAUAGUUUAAAAACUUGUGUUGUUUUUUUUUUUUUAUCUGUAAACAACAGAUAAAGGGUCAUUGAUGUUACCUGCAGAAACUAUUUUAACGAGCUCUUCUUGUGCAUUCCUAAACUUUUAGUCCUGUCACCUGAGCACUGCUCAUAGAAAAAUUCAAGAUAAAAAUUAUAACCCAAAAACAUGUCUGUUGAUGGUGAAUGGAGUUAAAUCCAGCUGGCAACCAAUCACGAGUGGUGUUCUCCAUGGGUCGGUAAGUCUGGACUCUGUCCUGUUCAUUGUCUUUAUUGAUGACCUGGACAAGGGAAUUAAGUGCAACCUCAGUAGGUUUGCAGAUAAUACCAAGUUAGCAGGAAGAGUCAGUCUGCCAGGGGGUAGGAAGGCCCUACAGAGGGAUCUGGACAGGCUAGAUUGCUGGGGUAAGGCAAGUGGGAUGAAGUUCAACAAGAUCAAGUGCUGGGUCCUGCACUUUGGUCACAGCAUCCCCAGGCAAUGCAAUAGGCUUGGGGCAGAGCGACUGGAAGACUGUGUGGAAGAAAUGUACCUGGAGGCAUUGGUCAGCGCUCAGCUAAACAUGAGCCAGCAGUAUGUCCAGGUAGCCAAGAAGGCCAAUGGCAUCCUGGCUUGUAUCAGAAAUAGUGCUGCCUUUAGGAGCAGCGAAGCAGUCAUCUCUGUGUACUCAGCUCUACUGAGCCUGAACCUUGAGUACUGUGCUCAGUUUUGAGCUUCCUCGCUUGUAGCUCUGAAGCACAUUCAGAGAAGAGCAAUGGAGCUGCUAAAGGGUCUGGCUGAGGGAUCUAGAAUUGUUUAGUCUGGAGAAGAGGAGGCUCAAGGGAGACCUUAUUGUUCUCUACAACUGCCUGAAAGGAGGUUGUGGUGAGGUAGAGAUUGACCUCUUCUGCCACAUGAGUAGUGAUAGAAAGAGAAGAAAUGGCCUCAAGCUGCACCAGGGAAGAUUCAGGCUGGAUAUUAGGAAAAAUUUCUUCUCUGAAAGGGUGGGCAGAUGCUGGAAUGGGAACCUGCCCAGGGAAGUGGUUGAGUCACUGCUCCUGGAGGUGUUCAAGAAACAUUUAGAUGG